AUUAGCGGCUUCCAUUUAUCGGGAUAUCGCAUCCAUUUUUUAAUAAUUAAGACUGUAAUAUAUCUUUGUUGUUUCAUCUUCAUACAAAGUAUCCACAAAACAUUGUACAUAGGUUGAUAUUCAAUAGUGAUAUUCAGCGUAGUAUGAAAACAAUAUGUAUCCAAUCAUUUGAACAGCUUUCGAGCUUAUUAUCGCUUACGUAUGAUUUUCAUCCGUGAAUAAGAGGAAAGAAUGAUUUGAUUUAAUAGAGUUUAGAAUGUCUCUAGUUAGUAUAGGCCUACAAAUGAUGCAGCAAUUUACAUCGGAUCUGAAUUUAAAAUCGAUCGAGUACAUCUGUUUCUCCAGCGUUUAAAUAACAAACCACAAAUAAUAAUAUACUCAGCAGAAGCAAUCUGUCAGGCGAAAAGAAGAUCAACAGAGUGCGGAUAAUUACAAGGAUAGUGAUUGGGAUGUAGGUUCAAGGGGAGACUAAAUUAGAUACAGCUGUUUGUUGCUCCUGGAUAUAAGCCUGAGUGCAGAGAUAGGAACUCUCACGCAGGAGGAACUGCAUGUUUCAUUAGGUCUGACAUCCCUGUUAGAAGUAGAAGGAUUUGGAAGAAGAAGAUCUUGAAAGUGCCAGCUGUUUGAACAUCAUCUUAUGGCAUGAUCGUUUACAAUCACACAGCGUUGGUUUACUACUAUACAACAGACCUUAACUCUAGUUCGGUAGACACGGACAAUGCAACGAUUUCAAGUAUGGAGAGGUUUGGAGACAAUGAAACUUCACAACAUCAUACUUCCACGUCAGUUAUUUGCAGUAAUGCAACCGACGUCAUAUCGGAGAACCCCAGGACGUCGCAUGACGCCCUUCUGUAUAUAGUAACGGUUCUGUUGUUUUAU